rnacentral:rRNA from 1 species
UACGAAGGGGGCUAGCGUUGUUCGGAAUUACUGGGCGUAAAGGGCGCGUAGGCGGUCCGUUUAGUCAGAAGUGAAAGCCCCGGGCUUAACCUGGGAACUGCUUUUGAUACUGGCGGACUUGAGUUCCGGAGAGGAUGGUGGAAUUCCCAGUGUAGCGGUGAAAUUCGUAGAUAUUGGGAAGAACACCGGUGGCGAAGGCGGCCAUCUGGACGGACACUGACGCUGAGGCGCGAAAGCGUGGGGAGCAAACAGG